rnacentral:rRNA from 1 species
AUUGAACGCUGGCGGCAGGCCUAACACAUGCCAGUCGAGCGGAUGAAGGGAGCUUGCUCCUGGAUUCAGCGGCGGACGGGUGAGUAAUGCCUAGGAAUCUGCCUGGCAGUGGGGGAUAACGUCCGGAAACGGGCGCUAAUACCGCAUACGUCCUGAGGGAGAAAGUGGGGGAUCUUCGGACCUCACGCUAUCAGAUGAGCCUAGGUCGGAUUAGCUAGUUGGUGGGGUAAAGGCCUACCAAGGCGACGAUCCGUAACUGGUCUGAGAGGAUGAUCAGUCACACUGGAACUGAGACACGGUCCAGACUCCUACGGGAGGCAGCAGUGGGGAAUAUUGGACAGUGGGCGAAAGCCUGAUCCAGCCAUGCCGCGUGUGUGAAGAAGGUCUUCGGAUUGUAAAGCACUUUAAGUUGGGAGGAAGGGCAGUAAGUUAAUACCUUGCUGUUUUGACGUUACCAACAGAAUAAGCACCGGCUAACUUCGUG